AUGAUUUUUAUUAUUUUUUUUUUUUGUCACCAGCACCCCCAGCCCUGGUGGCUGCACCUGCACCGAGCGACCCUCCCUCCCUUGUUCCUCUUUCCCUCCCUUAUUCCUCUUUCUUCCCUCUCCCCUCCAUUUUUUCCCUUCCUCCUUCCUUCCCCCUCUCCCUCCCUCCCUUCCUCUCUUUUUUCUUUCCCUCCCUUCUUCCCUUCCUACUUCCCUGAUCCCUCCCUCUCCUCCUUUUAUUUCCUUUGCCUCCUUCCUCCUCCUCUUCCUCUCUCCCUUAUUUCCUCCUUUCUUCUUUCUCUCCUUCCUUCCCUUUUCCUCUCACCUUCUCUGCCUUUCCCUUUUUCCCUCCUUCUCUCCCCUCCUUCCUUCCCUUCCUCUCUCCCUUUUUCCCUCCCCUCUCCUUCCCUCCCUCCCUUCUUCUCUCCCUUUUUCCUCCUUCAUUUCCUUCCCUUCCUCUCUCCUUUCCUCCUGUUUCCCCUUCCUUCCCUCCCUCCUUCCCUAUCCCUCUUCCUCUCCCCUUCCCUCUCUCUCCCCUCUCCCCUUCCUCUCCUUUCCUUCUUCUCUUCUCCUUUCCUUUCCUCCUCAUUCCCUCCCUCUUCCUUCUCUCCCUCUCUCCUUCCUUUCAUCCCUUCCUCCCCAUCCCUCUCUCCUUCCUCUCCCCCCUUCUUUCCUCCUCUCCUUCCCUUCCUCUCUCCCUUUUUCCCUCCCAUCUCCCUCUUUUUCCAUCUUUCCUCCUUUAUUUCCUUUCUCUCCUUCCUCCUCUUCCUCUCUCCCUUGUUUCCUCCUUUCUUCUCUCCUUCCUUCCCUAUCCCUCCUUCCUCCCUGUUUCCCUUCUCCCCUUCCUUCUAUUCUCCUUUCCUCCUCAUUCCCUCCCUCUCCUUCCCUCUCUCCUCUCCUUCCUUUCAUCCCUCUCUCCUUCCACUCCUUAUUUCCUCUUCCCCUCCUUCUUCUCCCUCUCUCCUUCCUUUCCUCUCCUUUCUUCCUCCCUUUUUUCCUUCUUCAUUUCCUUCCUCUCCUUCCUCCUCCUCCUCUCCCCUUUUCUCCCUUAUUUCCUCCUUUCUUCCUUCUCUCCCUCCUUCCUCCCCCCUUCCCUCCCUCUCUCGUUUUCCUCCUCCCCUCCUUCUCUCCUUUCCCUCUCUCCCUCCCCCUCCUUCCUUCCCUUCCUCUCUCCCUUUUUCCCUCCCUCUCUCCUUUCUUUCCUCCUUCCUUCCCUCCUUCAUUUCCUUCCUCUCCUUCCCUCUCCUCUCUCCCUUCCUCCCUUAUUUCCUUUCUUCCUUCUCCCCCUCCUCCCCUAUCCCUCCUUCCUCUCCUUUCCUCCCUCCUCCCUUUUUCCCUGCCUCCCCAUCCCUCUCCCCUUCCCUCCCUUUCCCUUUUCCUCCCUCUUUCCCUCUCCCCUUCCUCUCCUUUCCUCCUCAUUCCCUCCCUCUCCUUCCUUUCAUCCCUCUCUCCUUCCUCCCCUUAUUUCGUCCUCCCCUCCUUCUUGUCUCUCUCCUUCCCUCCCUCUCCUUCCUUCUUCACUCCCUCCUUUAUUUCCUUCCUCCCUUCCUUAUUUCCUUCUUUCUUCCUUCCCUCCCUCUCCCCUUCCUCUCCUUUCCUCCUCCUCUCCCUCUCUCCUUCCCCCUCCUUCCUUCUCUUCCUCUCCCUUUUUCCCUCCCCUCUCCUUCCCUCCCUCCUUCCCUUUUUUCCUUCUUCCUUCCUUCAUUUCCUUCCUCCCCUUCCCUCUCCUCUCUUCCUCCUCCCUUAUUUCCUUUCUUCCUUCUCUCCCUCCUCCCCUAUCCCUCCUCCCUCUCCUUUCCUCCUCAUUCCCUCUCUCCUUCCUCCCCUUAUUUCCUCCUCCCCUCCUUCUUCUCCCUCUCCUUCCCUCCCUCUCCUUUCUUCCUCCCUUUUUCCUUCUUCAUUUCCUUCCUCCUCUUCCUCUCCCUUUAUCCCUUCUUCCCUCCUUUCUUACUUCUUCCUUCCCUCCCUUUUUCCUCCCUUCCUCUCCCCUUCCCCUCUCCCCUUCCUCUCCUUUCCUUCCCCCUCCUUUCCUCCCUCUCCCCUUUCCUCCCUCCUCCCUUUUUCCCUCCUUCUCCUCUCCCUCUCUCCUUCCCUUCCUCCUUCCCUGCCUCUCUCCUUCCUUCCCUUAUUUCCUCCUCUUUCUCCCCUCCCUCCCCCCUUCUCUUCACCUUCCCUCUCCCCUUUCCCUUCCCUCCCUUCCCCCUUUUUCCUCUCUCUUUCCCUCUCCCCUUCCCUCUCUCCUUCCCUCCCUCCUUGUCUCCCUCUCUCCUUCCUUCCCUCCCUCCCCCUUCCCCUCCCUCUCCCCUCCCCACCUCCUCCCUGCAGAGCUCCCCGUAG
rnacentral:lncRNA from 1 species